UGGUAAAUCUCGUGCCAGCCACCGCGGUUAUACGAGUAACACACAUUAAUAUAUUACGGCGUAAAGGGUGAUUAAAAUAAAUCUAAUAGAACUAAAGUAAAGACAUCAUUUAGCCGUCACACGCUCCCAUGAACGGAAAGUCCAAUAACGAAAGUAACUUUAAAGAAAAAGAUCUUUUGACCUCACGACAGUUAAGACC
rnacentral:rRNA from 1 species